rnacentral:rRNA from 1 species
ACGGGGCUUAAUGUCUUGUAAUUGGAAUGAUGGGAAUUUAAACCUCUUCCAGAGUAUCAAUUGGAGGGCAAGUCUGGUGCCAGCAGCCGCGGUAAUUCCAGCUCCAAUAGCGUAUAUUAAAAUUGUUGCAGUUAAAAAGCUCGUAGUUGAAUUUCUGCUGCAUUGCAUUUGCUCCUUGACGAGUGUCUGUAUUGCGGCUUAUUUCGGAUUAUGCUUGCAUUUUCCGGAUGUUUACUUUGAGAAAAUUAGAGUGCUCA